UGGGAAGAAUCCAGCACGAGGUAGGA
rnacentral:piRNA from 1 species